UCUUAGCCUUACAAUCUGAUCCUCAAGUCCCAUCUUUUUACGCUUGUGCUUGGGAUAAUUCUUAAAAUCUUUCUAAGAAUGUGGUAACUUUUUAAUUAUAGCAGCCACUUGGAAUGAUUCACUAAACUCUAUAUUUUCUGCAUGAGAACUUCAUCUUUUCUGGAUGAAUCUCAUGCAAAAUAAGUUGGAGUUCUUGGACUUGACUGAUGAAUGUUUUGGAGUCCACCAUCUUGUAGAAAACGAUCGACAAUGAA
rnacentral:lncRNA from 1 species